rnacentral:rRNA from 1 species
AGGUAGAGAAUACUCAGGCGCUUGAGAGAACUCGGGUGAAGGAACUAGGCAAAAUGGUGCCGUAACUUCGGGAGAAGGCACGCUGGCAUUAGGUAAAGGGACUUGCUCCCGGCGCCGAAGCCAGUCGCAGAUACCAGCUGGCUGCAACUGUUUAAUAAAAACACAGCACUGUGCAAACACGAAAGUGGACGUAUACGGUGUGACGCCUGCCCGGUGCUGGAAGGUUAAUUGAUGGGGUCAGCCGCAAGGCGAAGCUCUUGAUCGAAGCCCCAGUAAACGGCGGCCGUAACUAUAACGGUCCUAAGGUAGCGAAAUUCCUUGUCGGGUAAGUUCCGACCUGCACGAAUGGCGUAAUGAUGGCCAGGCUGUCUCCACCCGAGACUCAGUGAAAUUGAACUCGCUGUGAAGAUGCAGUGUACCCGCGGCAAGACGGAAAGACCCCGUGAACCUUUACUAUAGCUUGACACUGAACAUUGAGCCUUGAUGUGUAGGAUAGGUGGGAGGCAUAGAAGUGUGGACGCCAGUCUGCAUGGAGCCAACCUUGAAAUACCACCCUUUAAUGUUUGAUGUUCUAACUCGGCCCCGUGAUCCGGGGUGAGGACAGUGUCUGGUGGGUAGUUUGACUGGGGCGGUCUCCUCCCAAAGAGUAACGGAGGAGCACGAAGGUUAGCUAAUCACGGUCGGACAUCGUGAGGUUAGUGCAAAGGCAUAAGCUAGCUUGACUGCGAGAGUGACGGCUCGAGCAGGUACGAAAGUAGGUCUUAGUGAUCCGGUGGUUCUGAAUGGAAGGGCCAUCGCUCAACGGAUAAAAGGUACUCCGGGGAUAACAGGCUGAUACCGCCCAAGAGUUCAUAUCGACGGCGGUGUUUGGCACCUCGAUGUCGGCUCAUCACAUCCUGGGGCUGAAGUAGGUCCCAAGGGUAUGGCUGUUCGCCAUUUAAAGUGGUACGCGAGCUGGGUUUAGAACGUCGUGAGACAGUUCGGUCCCUAUCUGCCGUGGGCGUUGGAAGAUUGAGAGGGGCUGCUCCUAGUACGAGAGGACCGGAGUGGACGAAUCACUGGUGUUCGGGUUGUCAUGCCAAUGGCAUUGCCCGGUAGCUAAAUUCGGAAGAGAUAACCGCUGAAAGCAUCUAAGCGGGAAACUUGCCUCGA